rnacentral:rRNA from 1 species
GGCCACACUGGAACUGAGACACGGUCCAGACUCCUACGGGAGGCAGCAGUAGGGAAUCUUCCGCAAUGGGCGAAAGCCUGACGGAGCAACGCCGCGUGAGUGAUGAAGGUCUUCGGAUCGUAAAACUCUGUUAUUAGGGAAGAACAUAUGUGUAAGUAACUGUGCACAUCUUGACGGUACCUAAUCAGAAAGCCACGGCUAACUACGUGCCAGCAGCCGCGGUAAUACGUAGGUGGCAAGCGUUAUCCGGCAUCAUUGGGCGUAAAGCGCGCGUAGGCGGUUUUUUAAGACUGAUGUGAAA